rnacentral:lncRNA from 1 species
UCAAAUUGGAGAAUUUCGGAGGUAAAUUUAAAUGUCAUAGUGUACCUAGAAGAGAUAUCAAUGACUUUAUUUGAUAAUCCACUUUAAAAGUUCCUACUUCCAUAAGCGACAUGAAAUCGAUAGAGCUGAGUCUGACAAAUUUUUAGCUAGGAAUCAAAAGAUACUGCUUUUGAAUUAUUGUACAGUAGCUUACAUCUCAUCCAAAAGGGUCCAAUCUUACAACACCAACAGAUUCAUUAUCAAACCAUAAUAGUAAUCACACACCUGUUCAUGAAGAACAUGCAUUCCAUAGGGAAACUAUUUCCUUAUCAAAGUUAAAAAUGAUACAACAAUAUUAGCUGAGCAGUACUCUAUGCAGUGGUGACGGUCUCUGGCUCAGCGGGUUUUGUUUCUGGUACAGGUGCAGCUGCAGCAGCAACGGUCUCUGGCUCAGCGGGCUUUGUCUCCGGUGCAGCUGCUGCAGCCGCAGUCUCCGACUCAGCAGGCUUUGUUUCUGGUGCUGCUGCAGGUUCUUCUGCUUCCCAGAAUGCAGUCUUCUUCCCGGUCUUCGACACGGUCUGGAAGACAGCAUCUGGCUCCACGUUUCCCUUCACUGUAACUUUCUGCUCCUUCAUGUCAAUGUCGAAAGACUCCACACCUGAUCGCAUCACAGAGUAACACAAACCUUAAAUUGCAAAUCACAAUCUCAUGAUUGAGAAAUAAAAACCAGUGCUUAGCUGAAUUAGAAGCCUGGAUACAACAUAGAGCCGUAGUAUUAACAUAUAUGCCAGUUACACGACUGGAAUCAUCUAUUUAUAACAAAUGAGAUAAGAUAACCAAGGAAUCGGAUGCAGCAAACCGCAACGAAAUGUAGGUGAGUGGUUACAGACCUUCCAUUUUGGACAAG